AAAAGGUAGGCCGUUGUGAGCAGCGACAUGUUGAUGCCGAUGAUGACAAUACGUUUUCGUUGGAGGUUAUGCUGUAAAUAUGAUCAUAGACAACUAUGAGGUGUUAGACACAAGCGGAGUCGAUGAUGGACCAUUAUCUUGGCUAAGAUUAAGCAGGUUGAGCUAGUGAAACACUUAGCUUGGUGAG